GAACUCUGUUAGCUCUUCUCUCACUAUCUUUUUCCUCAGGGUAAUAGGAAUAGAAUCCAAUAUUUGUUUCACUGAAACUCUAGUAUUUAUAGCCUAAUAUUGGUAGCUUAGUGGGCUUUUGAGAGAGGUCCAAGUCUGAGAUUUUUUCCUUUAUUUAUUUAUUUAUUUAUUAUUAUUUUUUUAUAUUUUAAAUAAAGUUUCUUGGAUCUAAUUCUGAUUGACAUGAUGAAAUGCAAUGUAUCUAAUGUUAAAUAACCUAAAAAUGAAUGCAUGCAUGAGGUGUAAAGCGUAUGCUUCCAGGAAAAAUGAAGGGUAAAU
rnacentral:lncRNA from 1 species